UGGCGGACGGGUGAGUAAUGCGUAGGAAUCUACCUAGUUGAGUGGGGUAGCCUAGGGAAACUUAGGGUAAUACCGCAUAAGUCUUACGGGAGAAAGCAGGGGACUGUUAAAGGCCUUGCGCGAUUAGAUGAGCCUACGUCGGAUUAGCUUGUUGGUGGGGUAAAGGCCUACCAAGGCGAUGAUCCGUAGCUGGUCUGAGAGGACGACCAGCCACACUGGGACUGAGACACGGCCCAG
rnacentral:rRNA from 1 species